UGAGGAAUAUUGGGCAAUGCCCGCAAGGGUGACCCAGCAACGCCGCGUGGAGGAUGAAUGUCGUAAGAUUGUAAACUCCUGUUAGAGGGGAAGAAUAGUACCGGUUGGACCGGUAUAUGACUGUACCCUCAGAGAAAGCCCCGGCUAACUACGUGCCAGCAGCCGCGGUAAUACGUAGGGGGCAAGCGUUGUCCGGAUUUACUGGGUGUAAAGGGCGCGCAGGCGGGAUAAAAAGUCAGUGGUGAAAUCCUACAGCUUAACUGUAGAACUGCCUUUGAUACUUUUAUUCUUGAGUUCGGGAGAGAGAGACGGAAUUCCAGGUGUAGUGGUGAAAUACGUAGAUAUCUGGAAGAACACCAGUUGCGAAGGCGGUCUCUUGGUCCGACACUGACGCUGAGGCGCGAAAGCGCGGGGAGCAAACA
rnacentral:rRNA from 1 species